rnacentral:sRNA from 2 species
GUGGCCGGAACGCCGAAUCCUGCCGCCGACCACGGAUCACAACUCGAAGGCAUGGAGCGGGGGACCCACAAGUUCCUCGGCGCUCACGCGUCUUGGGGUGAAGCCGCACUACGCGGCCGGGCCACUCUGCCCGAACCCGACAGCUGACCUCGCAGGCGUGGAGGACAACUGAA